rnacentral:lncRNA from 1 species
GUCAGGUGAGGGUCAGAGGUUGGAGAGCUGCCCUAGGAGGGCAUGACAAGCCCUCCAUACCAGAGAAAAUACUCCUCCCUGAGCACCAUAUAUUAUUCAAAGGAAAUCAACCCCCUUUGGAGGAUCAAACUCAGGACCUUCAGCUUUAGAGACUGAUGUGUUGCCUACUGUGCUAAGAAGCAAUUUUAGGGAAAGAUUGGACACGGAAAAGCUGAUGCAACAGAAGGACUGUUUUGAGGAGCAGCAUGAUUCCAGAAAGGCCCCAAAGAAGAAGAUACCAGCAAGAGAAGAUAUCCUCAGAAAUCAGACAAAUGCAUAAUGAGACUGAAUUCUUGGAAAUAAUGGACGGGACAGUGGGAAUUAGAAUGUAAUCUCAUCCUGCUAUAGACAUCUACUAUAAGAAAUCAAGAAGGAAUUACAUGCUGGGUGCUCAGAUGGCACAUUAAAGGAUACUCUGUUCCUCAGAUCUUUAUACAC